rnacentral:lncRNA from 1 species
CCAGAGGCAGGCAGACGCGGGAGCCCGCAGCGCUCCGCUUAGAGCCAGGCACGCGUCAAAAACAGUCGUCAGCCAAGACGAUAAUGAACUAAUAAAUAUUCAUUUCUCCCAUUUUAUCAUUGAUUCAGCUGCUGUUUGUCCACACCCGAUACACCGGCCAUCCAUAUAACGGUUCCAGUUAUAAACAUGGACGCGACUUCAGCAGAGGCCCCAGGGAGACCGUCACCUGGUGUAUCCCGAGGGAAGAGGCCUGAGCUCGCCCGCUAUCUGUGUUUCCACCAGAAAACAACGUUUGGGUUUUUUUCCCCUCUCUGUUCAACGCACACAUUUGGAGCGAGCAGGGAACCGUGCGAUCUCUGCACUCACCCCCGUGUGACAACGCACGGCACAACGAUGGAGAAGAGGGAAGGAGGGCGAAAAUGAGAAGAAACAGGGAGCGCGGCCUCCUCCCUUCCAGCCACCGUGCCGCCCCUGGGCAGAGCUGCUCCCGCCACGCGACCCUCCAGCCACCAGGCUGGUUUGCACCAACAGCAACGACCGCAGCACCCCAGUGCCAUGGGGCUUUGCCUCCUCUUGCCCGCAUACUGCCUUGACAUGAUUACGGGGUCACUGCCUUCAAGAGAAAACAAAACGGUUCCCCCCAUCUAACCCUUCAGUCAAAAUAAUCCUAGAAAUUCCCUUUAAUAACAGCAAGUAAUUUUUAAGUGCCUGUGGUCUUUCAGAUACUGAGUGAUAUCACAUAGUCAGAAAAUCAUCAAAAACAUAUAGCAAGUUGGGGUUUUUUUUAAAGCUGAAUGUUCUGAAGCACAAUAUAUCAAAAUCCCACCCUAUGGAUCCCUCCCGCACAGCAGAGCUCUCCUUGUUAAAAUUCUGCGCAGGCACAUUUCCUCCCCUCUCCCCCAGGUACCAUUCUCUCCGUGUGUACUACAGUAACAACUGCGCCUUUACUAAGAUUGCACACAAUAGCCAGGUCUUUGUAGAGGAUAAUUAACAGCCAGCAGUGAAUCUUAGCAUUUAUUCAAUGGCGUAUGAAUGAGUUAUGAAAAUUCUCUUUUACGGGAGAAGUAAUAGGGUAUCAUUCCAUUUGCAUAUGUUUUGCCUCUUGCGUGAUAGCAUAUUUACGGUUUUCACAGUUUAAAGUGAGAAAUAUGUACACAGAUAUUAUACGUUUGUGCUCAGACAGUCCUAGCUCAAUGAGUUUGCCUCUCCUUCUGUCAUUAGCGAAAUCCUCUCUCCAUCUGUAUCUAAUCUAAAUUCCUUGGGUCCACCCUGAGCGGGAUGAGCAGACCUGAGCCCCUCCAGCUGUUCCUGGAGAUGUGAGGGUUCAUUUCUUGAACUGGAUCUCCAUCUCACAUAAAUURUCUCGAUGAGUGCCCUCGCAUGGGGUACCUGGAGGCAAUGCCAUUGCGCUGUUCUGAAGUGC